UACGUAGGGGGCAAGCGUUGUCCGGAUUCACUGGGCGUAAAGCGCGUGUAGGCGGCGCGUCAAGUCGGGUGUGAAAGCCCGGGGCUCAACCCCGGGAUGCCGCUCGAAACUGGCGCGCUUGAGGACGGAAGAGGGGAGUGGAAUUCCUGGUGUAGCGGUGAAAUGCGUAGAGAUCAGGAGGAACACCCGUGGCGAAGGCGGCUCCCUGGUCCGUCCCUGACGCUGAGACGCGAAAGCGCGGGAGCGAACGGG
rnacentral:rRNA from 1 species